GUGUGUGUGCAUGCGCAUGCAUGCACACACGCUCAUGUGUACACACACACACACACACACACGCACACACGCACAUAUAC
rnacentral:pre_miRNA from 14 species